GACGAACGCUGGCGGCGUGCUUAACACAUGCAAGUCGAGCGGUAAGGCCCUUUUGGGGGUACACGAGCGGCGAACGGGUGAGUAACACGUGGGUGACCUGCCCUCAGCUCUGGGAUAAGCCUGGGAAACUGGGUCUAAUACUGGAUAUGACCUUUCCUCGCAUGGGGUUGGGGUGGAAAGUUUUCGGCUGGGGAGUGGGCCCGCGGCCUAUCAGCUUGUUGGUGGGGUGAUGGCCUACCAAGGCGACGACGGGUAGCCGGCCUGAGAGGGCGACCGGCCACACUGGGACUGAGACACGGCCCAGACUCCUACGGGAGGGCAGCAGUGGGGAAUAUUGCGCAAUGGGCGGAAGCCUGACGCAGCGACGCCGCGUGGGGGAUGACGGCC
rnacentral:rRNA from 1 species